rnacentral:ncRNA from 1 species
AAGGGGGCCAAUUUUGCCUUGGUUGGGUUUUUAAACCCCUUUAAAAGUUUAUUUUUUUUUUUUUAAAGGACAAAUGGAUGUGAUCCCAAAGUAAUUGUAACAUAGUAAUUGGGAGGAUCUUUGAUCACCUCGGUGCCAUGCUAGUUACAUAUGAAAACAUUAUUUAAUACAAUGACAAAGCCUAGAAUCAAUUGUAAACGACUUUUGUAACGGGCAAGGUGUUGUAAGUGGUUGAGCAGCUGCCAUACUGCGAUCCACUGAAGCUUAUCCUUUGCUUGAUGAUUCGA